UGUGGUUUCACAUGAAUCCACUAUUCAACUCAGUAGAGCAUUCAUAAAUGCCUUGUGGAAACUCUGAAGCCACCCAACAACACACUUUGAGGUUAUCUUGAUUGCUCUAGGGGAAGCCAGCUGGCAUGGGAAGUAGUGCAGUGGAGAAAUGCACAUGGCCAGAGACUAAGACCAAUCAUUUGAAUGAGUUUGGAAGCAUCCUACCCACCACUGCCACCAGUCAAGUCUUCAGAUGAGACUGCAGCCAUAGCCAACAGCUUGACUGCAACCUCCCAAAAACCUUGAUGCAGAUUCACACAACAUUGGACUUCUGACCCAUAGACAAUAUUAUAUAAUAAAUGUUUGUCUUUGCCACUAAGUUUCAGGAUAAUUUGUUAUAUAACAAUAAACCGUACAUCUAUCCUUGAUAUAAGUUUCCCUGUAUUUUUCUGUAGCAUCUCCAUAUUUUAG
rnacentral:lncRNA from 10 species